AUGGGUCCCUAUUGGUUUCUAUGUGUCCCCAUUGGUUUCUAUGGGUCCCUAUGGGGUUGCAGUACCUCCUCCCGCCCACAGGGGGGCGCUGUUUGUGCUCCCCCAUUGGUUUCUAUGGGUCCCCAUUGGUUUCUAUGGGUCCCUAUGGCCCCCCAUAUUAACCCCCCCAUACUAUACCCCAGGCUCUCUGUCCGUGCUGGAUUGCGGCCUAUUUCCGGGUCUCCCGUUCCCGUCGCUCCCCACCGAGGUCAAUCUCUUCCUGUUACCCCCGAUGGAACCGGAAGCUGACGACGCCCCCCCACGGACAGGUAAACAGCCCCGGUGCCGACAUGUUGCCGUAUACCGGAAGUGGGGGUCUACCGGAAGUGGCGUGUACUUCCGGUGGUGACCUGUUCCCAUAUACCGGAAGUGGGUGGUCUACAGGAAGUGGGUUCUACCGGAAGUGGGUUCUACCGGAAGUGGGGUGUAUUUCCGGCGAUGGCGUAUUCCAAAAUCCGGAAGUGGGUCGUACUUCUGGUGGCUACAUGCUCUCAUAUGCCGGAAGUGGGAGGGGGGGUCUCCCGGAAGUGGGUGGUCUACCGGAAGUGGGUUGUCUCCCGGAAGCGGGUUAUACCGGAAGUGGGUUGUCUCCCGGAAAUGGGUGGUCUCCCAAAAGUUGGUGGUCUCCCGGAAGUGGGUUGUACCGGAAGUGGGUUGUACCGGAAGUGACUCUCCCGGAAGUGGCCCGUACUUCCGGCGAGGGCCUAUUCCGGAACCCGGAAGUGAUGUAUACCGGAAGUAUAUCUCCCGUAAGUGGUUGUUACUUCCGGCGGCAAUGCCGUGUUUCCGGUUGCAGGUGGGGGCGGCCCGCUGUUCCCGUUACUUCCCCCUUAUCGCGGUCACGGCUCGUUCGGGAACUUGGUGGGAAGGUUGAGGGGGAGAAUCAUGGCGGCCAACAGGGCCCAGCUGUCACACUCCAUGCUCACUGAGAGGAACUGGUAAUGGGGCCAAUUAUAUGGGGUUAUAUGGGGUUAUAUGGGGUAUAUGGGGUUAUAUGGGAUAUAUGGGGGGAUAUAUGGGGUUAUAUGGGGUUAUAUGGGGGGAUAUGGGGGGAUAUGGGGUUAUAUGGGGUUAUAUGGGGUUAUAUGGGGGGAUAUGGGGUUAUAUGGGGGACUAGACCCCAUGAUAACCCGCAUAUGAGUAUCCCCCCAUUAUAACCCAAUAAUAACGGCCGCAUAUAACCCCAUAUAGGAACCCGCAAU
rnacentral:lncRNA from 1 species